AUCAUUCCUUUUACUUUCCAAACGAGCCCCCGCCGCGAGGCAGCGCUGCCCAGGUGGGGCUAAUGCCUAGUCCAGGAUCCGCCCGUCCCUGUCACUCGGACCGGCCCCGGAGCCAUGGCCCGAGCGCCCGUGCUGGGCUGUUGUCACCCGCGGCCCCGCGACCUGAGCUGGGAUGGGGAGGCAGCAACUUUGCUGCUGCCUCUCUCAGACCGCCUCUCCCUGCCUGCCUCGCCCCAUUGCAGGGAAUGGGCCUCUGCUUGCUGCCUGGGCCCCUGGUGCCACGGUAGGUGGGCGGCUGGCGUCGGGUCCAGAGUAUGCUGGACCGGGGGGCAGAAGGAGCAAGCUGGCAGUCCCUGCGUCUCCUGUUUUUCUUGCCCGCUCUGUCCGCUCUUACACCUGCCACGGGCCUGCAUCCAAAACCCCCCUGGCCCAGAGCAAGGGGAGCGCACGGCUGCCACCUCCAAGUGGCAUCCUGACCGGCAUCCAGGAUGCCCACAGGCGGGCUAUCUGCAGGAGCCGUCUGCAGCCCCCGGAGCGGAGGGGCAAGUCCCCAGGGCACGUUAUGGAAACGUCCCGGUUCCAGGCCAGGCUGGGCUUGUCCAGACGUGAGACGCGGCUUGCACCAGGCUCCCAGAAUCGCAGACCUGAAGCACUCGGAGCAGCACGCUCCUGUUUGCCUGGGGGAUGCCAGGGGCGGCUGGUGCCCAUUGCAGCCGGGGCUGGGCGCUCCCUGGGCUGCUGGAGAGUCACAGACGUCUCCGUCUGCACCAGGGACGGCGCUGCCUCGGGCGCGCUGUGAGCCCCAGGCCCCGAGCACCAGCUCUGAGUGCCACAAGGGCCGGAUGGAUGGGAUCCGCUGCCCGCAGGGGACCCCGUGUCUGCAAGGGACCCAUUGUCCAGCACCUUUAGGAGCUGGCUGCGCCGUGUUGGUUGCUGCUGCUGCUUCUGGGACCCAGAGCUUGGCUGGGAGCUUGUUGCCCCGGGCUGGGCUGCGCGCUGCUCACCUGGAGUUGGCCUGGGGUGCGCCUUCCCCCUUGAGAAGCAAGUUUGCAGACUAAGUAAAUGUAGUUUUCUCUUGGGUGUUGGGGCAGGGGAGCAGGAGGAAGCUGCAGACCAGUCGCUUGGACCCUUGGCUGAAGGCUGAGUGCAGCGUGGCUGCUGCGUGGCGCCGAGGGGCACAGAUAGACUGGGCAGCAGCCAGGUGAGGGUGAGGAGUCAGUCCACGCAAAGGGGCCACGCUCCUGCAGACCUGGUCCAGCAUCUCCCAGCGCUGGCCCUGUAACCGUUUGCGGGCUGCGUCUCCUGUCUGGGCUCCUGCAGGGUGUGCGCUCGACGGGCCCGCUGGUGUCUCGUCCCUCUUUGCUCCCAACAAGCAAACCACUGCCCUGGUAUCCUGGAGAAACCGAAGAGCAGGUGGGAGCUCACGUUCCUGGGGACGCAGCCAGGUUGCUGCUAAGCUCCCGCGCGAGCGUCCUGCUCCGAAUGCCUGACGCUGUCUGAGAGGUCAGCUCUGAUUCCUACAUCUGCCCUUCCUGCCCCCGGCAAUGCUGCGCUCCUGCCCCCGGGCACCCAGACCCACGCUCUCCUGCCCCGCCUGCUCCUCCCUCCCUUCCUGAAGCCAUGCAGCGUGGUGUGCAUUGAUGCAUUGAUGCGAGCAGAUCUGGCCGCCUUUCCCGAGUCAGGAACGGACAGAGGCAGAUCACCGUCUUCCCUCUCCAGCCUCAGGAGCAACGUGCCGGAGCAGUCUGGCUCUUUCCUGGGGGCACAUCGCUUUGCCUGGGCUGGUUGUGCUUGGUUCGGUGGGUUGCAGUGGAGACCACGCUUCACUCAGCGCCAUCCGUGUUUGCACGGGGUCCUGACACAGGUGGAAAACUCAGAGCCUGCUUUUGUACCUGGCCACACCAGCAAGGGAGCUCUGCCUGCCAGCCUGGGGAGCAUGGUGCUCCAAGGGCCAGUGCACCCCUCCAGAAGGGGCCUGCAGGUGCUUGUCCUGGGAGCGCGUCCACGGCAUCGCCCUGGACACAAACAAAUCCCUUUCAUUGCACAUGGACGGGACGCCGCCAGCAUCAGAGCCUCCGGUGGACCAUCCCCUUGGGUCCAUGGAGAAAGGCAGCAUCCCCUGCAAGGCGGGAAGCCCUCUGCAGCCCCGUCUGUCUCCUGCAAGAGGGUGUUAGAGGCGCCAGGGCGGAGCAUGGGACGUGUGCAUCGGGGUCUGUGCUGGGGUGAGGCGUGUUGCACGCACCCCUGCAGUCUCGGGUGUCUCACCAGGAUCGGGGGGUCCCCCCGGCGUGGAGGUGGGGAUGCCCACAGAGGGGAAUCUGAGCACACGGGCCCCUGAGACCUGGCAUCCGCUCAGGCUGCAGGAGGCCGGGAGGAAAGGGAAGGCCUUGACAGCGCCGAGGAGCGUCUGCAGGAGCCGGGGGCUCCUCGCCCCGCGGGUGGACUCUGCAGGCAGGGCUGCGGGCGGCGGGCGCUCCCUGCACGGUAGCCCAGCGCUCCCUCCCGGCGGGCGGCGGGCUGUCGGCGCGGGCGCGGACCCUCUAAUUCCAAGCAGACUCGGCCCGGAGCAGCAGGCGACAAAGUAGAUCCGGAAAUUCCUGAGCGUGGGGAAGUUGGCUGUAAUGUAAUUAGCUGAAAUGAAAGAAGGGGUCAGAGAAGAGGGGGCAAAGGUUCCUCUUUAAAAUAAAAGCAGAGGUAAACAAAACCAGCUGCCCGGCAGCCGGUGGCUCCCUUCAUUAACGACCCUCAGAGGCUAAUGGUCCCAAGCAGCUAAUUGCAGGGCUCUGGGGAAGGCUUGCAUGAUCCAGAGGCAAACGGGGCUGUGAGGCGCAGCCAGGCUCCUUCGCGGCUCCGGGGCCGUGCGUGGCCGUGUCCCCACGUGCAUCUCAACCCACGUAGUCUUGGGGCUAUGUGGCACAGCAGGGUCCCCUUGUCCACGCAGAGGGUGCUAGCUCGGUGCGAACGAGGCCGUCUGCACUGCAGCAGGUUGCUCUGUCCAUGCCAGCCCCCGACCGCGACCACGACGGGUGAUGCUCGGCGUUUUGCUUAAAGCCCCAGCUGCCGGAGUCAGGUGGCCGUGCAGAAGGCCCAGCUGGAGCAGAGGGCUCGGCCGAGGAGCAGAGCGCGGCACGCAGGUGAAACGGCCCCGAGCACCUGGUCGAAACCCCCUGGAGCGUUUGGCCCGGCUGUGGUGGGGCGGCAGUGCCAGCGGCCCUGCCGAGACCCCGGAGGGGGCGAGUGCCUGUGGCUGCAGCCGGUAACGCAGCUUCGGCAGCUGGCCUGGGCGGGAUAAUCUGAUUUCCUACCGAGGGGAUUUUUCCAUGAAAAGCGUCUGCUUUCCCACAGAAAAUGUCAUUCUUUUUCAUCAAACUAGUUUGGCCCCGGAGUCGAAAAUGUCAGUGGGAAAACGUCAGCAUUGGAGUUUUUGGCAGAAAUGUCCCUAGGCAAAGAGGACUUGGAGCAGCUGCCUGUCUCCGGCUCUGCGGUUUCCCGGAGCGGGGGCACCACUCCUCAGCUCUGCCGGGCCGGCGGGAGCAGCCGGGGCCUCGUGUUCGCUGCGGGCGCCGGGCCCAGGACUCGGCUCAGCUCCCCCGCUGCCAGCCGCGGGGAGAGAUGCCCUUCUGCACCCUCCUGGCUCCAGGACUUUCCUUCUCCACCUCCCUUGUGCCCUCGUCCUGAGGGGCUUCGGGACCUGGUGCGAGCCCACGCUUGGGCUUCAGCUCGGCCAGCCGGGCCCGGGUUUCAUGUCCACGCUGCCGUGCCCACACCGGAGCUGCAGACACAACGGUUUGGAGGUGAUGCGAGGCGUGGAACGGGACUCGGACAGCACGGCUGCAAACCGUGGUCUGGACACGCAGCCACGUACGGCACAGGAAGGAAAGCCCUGGAUUCCUGCGUGGUCUGUGGACCUGGGAGCGCAGCGGGGCCUGGUGGGCAGGGAAGAGAAACCCAGGCUGUGUUCCCCAUCCUGCCACUGGCUCUGUGUGGCCUUUGGCACGUCCUGCCCUCUGCGUGCCCUCGUGGCCCAUGUCGAAUGGGGGCAGCGAUACUUCCACCAGGAAAAACACAUGGCUCUCCCGUGGUCUUUGCCCACGUGUCCGCAGGAGCCGGUGUUUGCAGUCCCGCUCGCCCUCGCUCUCUUCGUGCAGGGGGCAUCAUUUCGCGGGCUGGCUCCGGGGGCGUGGAUGGUGCAGACGGGCUCCCCCAGAGCCGCGGGGCAGAACGGCCUUCCCUGAGCUUGGCGGGUAGCGCGCUGGGCCCCUCUCUGCCCAUGCACUGGCUGGCAGUGGCCACCACAGUAAUGUCCAAAAGUGGGACGUGCCAGCUGCAGGAGCCCACCAUUGCCCACAGCUGGCGGUCCCCGUCGUGCUGCCCAGAUCCUCGGCAGUGCCGCGGGGCCCGUGUGCGCCACGCGUCAGUCUUUCCGUGGCCUCUGCGAUGGCAGGGCGGCUUUGGCGCCAGCUCGUCUGCUCGCUGCAGACAUCAGCCAUGGGCUCGUUCUUGUCUCUGCGGAUGGCCUGUCCCGGAGCCAGACGGCCCCUCCACGAGCGCGUUAUCUCUGCUGCUGCGAGACGCGCCGCCGCAGCCUCUCUUGGCUGACAGCUCGGGCUUUUCCUCCCCGCAUUCAUCACGGGCUCCUCGGCACUUGGGUGCAGCCUCGGCGCGGGUUCAAGCUGGCCUCGUGCUUCUCGUCUCAUCCUGGAGCCGCUCCUUUCAGCUGCGAGCCCUCGGAGACCUUCUCAAGGAGCAGCUCCGUCCUGCUCUGUCCAUCUCUGCUGCUCCUGGCCAGCGCUGCCUCCGUCUGGGCUGGUUGCUGCCCCGCGCUGCUCUUGCGCCGAGCCGCUGGACUGGUUAUGUGCGAUGCCGGGAGUCGUGGGUGCGGCCUGGGCACCUCGCUCAGCCCUGCGGGGUGGCAGCUGCUGACCAAAGGCUCCACCGCACCGUGCGCCCUUUUCCGAGCACUUCCUCCUCCUGGCAUCAGAGAAGCAGGCCUGGGUCGCUCUGUGGUGCCCAGCACCUCCAUGCUGCAUGCCCGGACUGUCUCUCUCUGCAGCCGUGCUGAGCAGAAGCCGUGGUUCCCGGGAGAGGCCGCAAAGCAUGGUGCAGAUGCCCAGUCCUCGCCUGCUGCAGGCUGCCUGCGGCCACGCUGCUUUUGUGAGCACACGGUCCUCACACCCGUGGCACACUGCACCCAGAAGCCUUUCCCCUGCUCCAAAGGCUGCCCCAGCACUGGCGUCCAGUCCAUGCCAUCCUUGUAAGGACAGCAACGGCUUGGAGAGGGGGAAGCCUGCACCCCCUGCUCCCGAGCCUGAGCCCUGCAGCCGCCUCGCUGGGAUUUACAACCCUCGCCCCGGCCCGGGGUCCCUGCCGCAGCGGUGGCAGCGCGUCUCCCUGCACGAGAUUUACAAGCAGCCGCCACGGCUCCAGUGGCGUCGUCUGCUCCGUCUGCUCCCCAGCAAAACGCACCAAGCCGUGACUCCUCCGCCGCGUCCCACGGCCCCGUGUAUGGCUCCAUCAAGAUGUCCUGAUGUUAAGGCUGCCUGUUUCUUUUUCCCCUUUGAUCUCUUGGUUUCCCCCGCACCCCUGCUGUGAGGCUGAAUAAAUCCCCGUCCUCCUCGGCGCUGAUCCUUGCAGAGACUUGCCCGGAGACUCUCCUUGCCGCACGUGGCCAAACCAGACCCGCUUUCCUCCUCGCCCUUCCCUUCCAUCUCCCGAUAGCAUGGGAGACGGGCUCCUGCAUCUCUCUGAUGCCCAGCACCAAGGGCAGGAGUCGGGGGCACGCGCGGCGCUGCAGGAAGGGGGCCAGGCCCCUCCUGCUGGGACACCCGGCCUUUGAGGCUCAAAAUCCCGUGGGUGCUUCGGAGCUGCAGCCAUUACGAAUCCACGUCGGCCACGGCCUCGCCUUGCGCCUGGGCUCUUUGCAUCCUCCCUGAUCCACGUGGCUGUCGAGCACAUUGGGACCUCCCUGAUAUCCGUGCACCUGCCGCCCUCCUGCCCUCCACCGCUUUUGCUAUUCCAUGUUCCUUAUGGAAGAAAUGUCUGGUGUCUCUUGGCCCCGGCCCCGCCUGCUACUCAGGACACCGUGGCCCCUGCGUGGCCGGGGACUCGGUGGCACGGAGGUGGCAGAGCUGAGCGGUGUGUGAAGACCAUCGCUAUCACUGUACUUGUGGUCUCAUGCUAGCAUGAAGGCCAAGCGUGCUGGAAAGUCCCUCCACCAGCUCCCCCCGCACUGGAGGGCUUGGAGGGGACCCAGCGGCAGCUCGUUUCGAGGGACAGCGGCUUGGAGGGGAAGCAGAGGAGAGCAAGGGAGGACAAGCAGAGGAAUCCCAGCCUGCUCCCCCUGCAGAGAGACCUGCAGCUUCUCAGUCACCUCGGGACCCACCAGGGAGCCCUGCUAGAGAUCCCCCUCGAAUUGAGGAUUGCCCGUGAUGCCGGGCUAGCUCUCCAGGCAUGGGCUGGGCUGCCCUGUGCAUCUGUGGGGCGUCGGUGCCCUUCUUGCAGGGGGAGUGAGGCUCCCGGGGACGCGUGGUGCUCCUGCAUCCUGUCCCCACUGCCCUCAGCACCUGGAAGCAGGCGGCCCGGGCUGCUCCUUGCUCCCCACACGCGGCUCAGUGCCCGGGCUUCCCCCGGGCUCGGUUGCAUCCUUCCAGCCUGCUGCAGCCGCUGGGGACCGGGGCUGCAUCCACGCUCAGGUGUCCCCAUGCCCAGGGCACAGAGGGCCGGGCUGUCCCCAGAAGUCCCUCAGUCACCUGGCCCUGCCCCUGGCUGCAGUAUCCCGUCUUCUUCGCUGGCCCUGUGGCUUGUCCGUCGUUGUGCACGUCGCUACCGGGUGUUUGGAGUGAGUCAGUCGCUAGCCGUCUUGGGAAGGAAGUCUCUUCUGUGCACAGCUGGAGCUUGCCCAGGUGCCGAACGCGACUGAGAGGUUGUGCCCAGCUUCCCCCUGUGCCUGGCAGGCCUGGGGAUGCCAGCAACGAGGUGCAAGAGCAGUCUUGGACACCCAGCAAGAGAGCGUGCUCUCUCCCUGCAGAGAAGAGUCCCCUGGACACUGCCCGGCACGUCAGGACGGAUCAUUUCUCACGAGGCCUUUGCUUCUCUGCAGUCUUGUUCUGCAUGAGAAACAUCAGCCGCCCAGCACAGGGGCUGGAGCCCAGCACAGCCCUUGCCGCACCGGGGAGCCUGGCAGGCAGCUGCUGGGGCUGGAGGACUUUUGCCCCCAGCAUCUUUGUAGUGGGAGCAUUGGGCUCUGCCCCUUUGUCCCAGGGGCAUGGCCCCUGCCACCCCAGUGCCCUGCUGGGGUUUGUGGUGCCUCGGUGGACCGUGCAGGAUGACCCCAAGGCACCUGGGCUUCUCCCGGCUGCAUUAUCUGUGCGCAUUUGCUGCCCACCCCGUCCCUGGCACCCGGCUUGGGGUAGGUGCAGCCUUGAUGGACGCUGUGAGCUGAGCAAGCGUGGACACGAGUGCCCUGGCGGCCCGUGGCCCGGCAGGGAGGCGUGUGGACGUCGCGGCUCCACGGGCACCCUGUUACUACAUUGACAGCCGCGUGGCCAAAGUGACCGACUUCCUGAAAACGCGCCUGCUGGACACGCUCUCCGACCAGAUCAG